AACGAACGCUGGCGGCAGGCUUAACACAUGCAAGUCGAACGCCCCGCAAGGGGAGUGGCAGACGGGUGAGUAACGCGUGGGAACGUACCUUUCGCUUCGGAAUAUUCCCGGGAAACUGGGAGCAAUGCCGAAUACGCCGUAUUGGGAAAGAUUUAUCGGCGAAAGAUCGGCCCGCGUUAGAUUAGCUAGUUGGCGGUGUAAUGGACCACCAAGGCUACGAUCUAUAGCUGGUCUGAGAGGAUGAUCAGCCACACUGGGACUGAGACACGGCCCAGACUCCUACGGGAGGCAGCGGUGGGGAAUCUUGGACAAUGGGCGCAAGCCUGAUCCAGCCAUGCCGCGUGAGUGAAGAAGGCCUUAGGGUUGUAAAACUCUUUCGCCGGAGAAGAUAAUGACGGUAUCCGGAGAAGAAGCCCCGGCUAACUUCGUGCCAGCCGCCGCGGUAA
rnacentral:rRNA from 1 species